rnacentral:rRNA from 1 species
UGUCGAUUUGGAGGUUGUGCCCUUGAGGCGUGGCUUCCGGAGCUAACGCGUUAAAUCGACCGCCUGGGGAGUACGGCCGCAAGGUUAAAACUCAAAUGAAUUGACGGGGGCCCGCACAAGCGGUGGAGCAUGUGGUUUAAUUCGAUGCAACGCGAAGAACCUUACCUACUCUUGACAUCCAGAGAACUUUCCAGAGAUGGAUUGGUGCCUUCGGGAACUCUGAGACAGGUGCUGCAUGGCUGUCGUCAGCUCGUGUUGUGAAAUGUUGGGUUAAGUCCCGCAACGAGCGCAACCCUUAUCCUUUGUUGCCAGCGGUUCGGCCGGGAACUCAAAGGAGACUGCCAGUGAUAAACUGGAGGAAGGUGGGGAUGACGUCAAGUCAUCAUGGCCCUUACGAGUAGGGCUACACACGUGCUACAAUGGCAUAUACAAAGAGAAGCGACCUCGCGAGAGCAAGCGGACCUCAUAAAGUAUGUCGUAGUCCGGAUUGGAGUCUGCAACUCGACUCCAUGAAGUCGGAAUCGCUAGUAAUCGUAGAUCAGAAUGCUACGGUGAAUACGUUCCCGGGCCUUGUACACACCGCCCGUCACACCAUGGGAGUGGGUUGCAAAAGAAGUAGGUAGCUUAACCUUCGGGAGGGCGCUUACCACUUUGUGAUUCAUGACUGGGGUGAAGUCGUAACAAGGUACCAAGGGCGAA